rnacentral:tRNA from 1 species
GGGAAGUUGGCUCAGUGGUAGAGUGCUUGCCUCAUAUGCAAGAGGCCCUGGGUUCAAUUCCUC